AUUGAACGCUGGCGGCAGGCCUAACACAUGCAAGUCGAGCGGAGCGGCGGACGGGUGCGUAUUGCCUAGGAAUCUGCCUGUUCGUGGGGGAUAACGUUCGGUAACGGGCGCUAAUACCGCUUCCUAUCACUUCAGCCUAGGUCCGUUUAGCUAGUUGGUGGGGUAAAGGCCUACCAAGGCGUCGACCCGUAACUGGUCUGAGAGGAUGAUCAGUCACACUGGAACUGAGACACGGUCCAGACUCCUACGGGAGGCAGCAGUGGGGAAGAUUGGACAAUGGGCGAAAGCCUGAUGCAGCCAUGCCGCGUGUGUGAAGAAGGUCUUAGGAUUGUAAAGCACUUUAAGUUGGGAGGCGUUACCAACAGAAUAAGCACCGGAUAACUUCGUGCCAGCAGCCGCGGUAAUAC
rnacentral:rRNA from 1 species